UACGUAGGGUGCAAGCGUUGUCCGGAAUUAUUGGGCGUAAAGAGCUCGUAGGCGGUUUGUCGCGUCUGCCGUGAAAGUCCGGGGCUCAACUCCGGAUCUGCGGUGGGUACGGGCAGACUAGAGUGAUGUAGGGGAGACUGGAAUUCCUGGUGUAGCGGUGAAAUGCGCAGAGUAUCAGGAGGAACACCGGUGGCGAAGGCGGCCUUCUGGACAGUGACUGACGCUGAGACGCGAAAGCGUGGGGAGCAAACAGG
rnacentral:rRNA from 1 species